rnacentral:rRNA from 1 species
GAUGAACGCUGGCGGCGUGCCUAAUACAUGCAAGUCGAGCGAACGGACGAGAAGCUUGCUUCUCUGAUGUUAGCGGCGGACGGGUGAGUAACACGUGGAUAACCUACCUAUAAGACUGGGAUAACUUCGGGAAACCGGAGCUAAUACCGGAUAAUAUUUUGAACCGCAUGGUUCAAAAGUAAAAGACGGUCUUGCUGUCACUUAUAGAUGGAUCCGCGCUGCAUUAGCUAGUUGGUAAGGUAACGGCUUACCAAGGCAACGAUGCAUAGCCGACCUGAGAGGGUGAUCGGCCACACUGGAACUGAGACACGGUCCAGACUCCUACGGGAGGCAGCAGUAGGGAAUCUUCCGCAAUGGGCGAAAGCCUGACGGAGCAACGCCGCGUGAGUGAUGAAGGUCUUCGGAUCGUAAAACUCUGUUAUUAGGGAAGAACAUAUGUGUAAGUAACUGUGCACAUCUUGACGGUACCUAAUCAGAAAGCCACGGCUGACUACGUG